UGCUCAAAUGACGACUCUCUUUUGUCCUUUAAUUGCAGAUAAUGGCGGUGGUAUGGAUCCAGAUAAAAUGUGGCAGUGCAUGUGUUUGGGGUAUUCUGCCAACAGCAAACUGGCAAAUACAAUUGGACAAUAUGGCAAUGGUUUUAAUAUGAGCACAGUGAGGCUUGGGGCAGAUGUGAUAGUGUUCUCAAGAUGUCACGGAAAAGAUGGGAAAAGUUUUACACAGAGCAUUGGGAUGCUUUCAUAUAUGUUUUUGAGGAGCACCGGGAAGGAAGAUAUUGGAGUACCCGUGGUAAUGACAUCUCAAUCUACUUUUUUUUUUUUUUGAUGAUGUACACUCAAAGAAGUUUUUUUAAAUGUUGCAUAUCGAAAAUAGGCCGCGAGCCGUGUCAAAAUCGGACCUGUGACUCUACUUCUUGGUCGCACCUUACAUGUUUGACAAAAUGCCCCAGUGAAACAGUUUAAGCUUGGAAUGUCCAAACCUGACCGUGUCAAUUUUUGGAGUUCUAUUGUAAAACGAAGCAGUUUAGUGGUAUAAGUGACUGUUUAUACCUAUUUCACACCACAUUUGAGCCAAAAAUCGCCCCAAAUCUCAGUUUUGAGUCUCUGUUUGAACUCGCCUACCACCCGUUUGACAAAAUGCUCAAGAGAGGCCCGAGAUGAAUGCUAUGAAAAUCGAUGCUCUCGAGCUUCGAUUUGUGCAUGGUUUGUUCUAAUAUUGUCACUGUCUCCAAGUUAUUUUUUCGUUUCAUGUGAUUUUGUGGCAUAUUUACUCCGGUUCGAGGCGGCCAUGUGCGCACCUCCCACCCGCCAGAAAGCUUUUCGUCAACGGUGCCUGCGGUGCGAGGCCGCCACCGUAAGUUCAUUAUUUUCUAUUCCAUGUCGUGUAUGUUUGGUUGCUUAGGUUUAAUGUUACUCUGGUGGCCGUGAGUUUGGGGGCUGGGAAAUCGAACUUUUGCUCGUCGACUCAUUUUCAUGGUCGGGGUUAGUCGACGGUUCGGUAGCUGCGUUGGCCGGCGGCGAGGGUGUAGAAUCGGUGGCGGUCGUCGGUGUUGACCGCGCGAGCCGGCGAUCAGGGGGCGAUGAGGUUCCCGGCGUGGUCUCGGCUGGAGGCGUGAGGAAGGAGGCUGUCGGUGAGCUCCCAGCGUGAGUUUGUGAGGAAAAAGAAGACGAGGAAGAAGGCGUCCAGGGAAAAAGACGUCAGGGAAGAAGACCGAAAAAGUAAAAAAAUGGGAAAGAAAAAAGAAAAAGAAGGAAAAUAGAAAAAUAAAUAAAUAAUUAGGAAAGAAAUAGAAAAAGGGGGUCCCGAGCGGGUCAGAGAUCCGGGUCGGAUCGGGUCAGGGGACCCGGUCCGAAAUUCUUAUUUUAUUAUUUAAAUAUUAAGAUAUUAAAAAUAUAAUUAAAAAAAAUCCCAAAAAUUCCAAAAAAUUCAGAAAAUUAGGAAUUGUUUAGAAAUUAGUUAUUGGCUUCAUUUCACUAGAUAUUAGUGUUAAUUUCACUCUAGAUUUAGUUUAAAACUUGUAAAAAAUUGAGAAAACCUUUAAAAGUUUCCCAA